AUUGAGGACUACCUCAAUGAGGCUUCUCCACACCUCACAUGGCAACUUGUGGAUUUGCGUGACUCAGAACUGUUCAGUGAGUCUGUCAGCAAGAACUGCAAGACAGCU
rnacentral:snoRNA from 1 species